CAGUCGCUGCGGGAAUACGAAGGGUGCAAGCGUUACUCGGAAUUACUGGGCGUAAAGCGUGCGUAGGUGGUGGUUUAAGUCCGUUGUGAAAGCCCUGGGCUCAACCUGGGAAUUGCAGUGGAUACUGGGUCACUAGAGUGUGGUAGAGGAUAGUGGAAUUUCCGGUGUAGCAGUGAAAUGCGUAGAGAUCGGAAGGAACAUCUGUGGCGAAGGCGACUAUCUGGGCCAACACUGACACUGAGGCACGAAAGCGUGGGGAGCAAACAGGAUUAGAUACCCCCGUAGUCCCUGUCUCUUAUAC
rnacentral:rRNA from 1 species